rnacentral:rRNA from 1 species
UAGUGAACCAGUACCGUGAGGGAAAGGCGAAAAGAACCCCGGCGAGGGGAGUGAAAAAGAACCUGAAACCGUGUACGUACAAGCAGUGGGAGCACCCUUUGGGGUGUGACUGCGUACCUUUUGUAUAAUGGGUCAGCGACUUAUAUUCUGUAGCAAGGUUAACCGUAUAGGGGAGCCGGAGGGAAACCGAGUCUUAACCGGGCGUUAAGUUGCAGGGUAUAGACCCGAAACCCGGUGAUCUAGCCAUGGGCAGGUUGAA